CUUCUCUCCCUCUGUUCUUUCAGCCUUCGUCCUUGCCGUCGCCGGUGUGAGUGUGGGCCAGAGAGAAACUCGAGAGUUUUGGUCCUUUGUUCUUCUCCAUCCAUUCUCUUUCUGUGUUUCUAAAGUGUGCGAGUGAGAAGCUUGGCUGCUCAGUCCGUCGCUGAUGUCGGUGUUCGCUAUGAAUCCGCUACUGUCAAGACUCGAAGUUGCGAGUUCGUCCUUCAUGUAAUGGUGAUGCCUAAAUCUCUCCCCUAUUUUCUCGUUACUGAAUCCUCCUUUCCCAUUUUUCUUUGAUCUGUUACCGGUGCUCGAGUGAGAGAGGAACCGAAAUUCUUGAUCUCUUUCGCCUUCUCCUUUCCUUCCUCGAUUGCCUUCAACAUUGCGAAUGAGGUUGUGAGCUAGAACGCCGUCCACCGUUGCUGGAGAUCUAAUACAUGAUUUCUCCUACUCCUCUGUUUCGCGCCGCUCUCGGUGCUCUGUUUGGCUGGCUGUUGUGCAUGCAUGAGAAUCUCUUUCUUCCUCUUCCUUGUUCGAACAGCAGUGUACCCUUUUACAUUUUUGAUAUUAUUGAUCAAAGACCAUUCUUAUCUAAUAUUAAACGGUUUCCCAAGGUUUACUUCAAAAUCUCAGUGGCGACUCCCAUUUUUUUGGUCUUCUUCUUAAAGGCCGGAACUUUCGCUCUUGCGCCAUCGGCAUUGCAUUUUCCAGUAGUGUUUGUUAAAAACAAAAAAACUAUUUUUAAAAGCAAAAACCAAACAAGCCCGGCCCUAAUCACUUGAAGAGCAAGGAGUGGAGCAAGCACUAUCACAAGUCUAACAAGGAAUCUUCUUCUCCAUUAAGUAACAAAUCAUAUAUCCUUAUUGAAAUUGAUUCUUCUAUACGUACUACUUUAAUUUGUGUAGUGAGGCAAUUGAAGAUUCAUGUUAUGACAAUGUAGAUGAGGAAAUCAUAGUAAAAUCACCUUGGACGCUUCAACAUGAACCCCUUGAGCCUAUUGUACCUAGUAGUAAUUUAAUUUGUAAAAGAACAUGUUGUAUGUCCUACUCUCA